rnacentral:rRNA from 1 species
GACGAACGCUGGCGGCGUGCUUAACACAUGCAAGUCGAACGGUAAGGCCCUUCGGGGUACACGAGUGGCGAACGGGUGAGUAACACGUGGGUGAUCUGCCCUGCACUUCGGGAUAAGCCUGGGAAACUGGGUCUAAUACCGGAUAGGACCCUGGGAUGCAUGUCCUGGGGUGGAAAGCUUUUGCGGUGUGGGAUGGGCCCGCGGCCUGUCAGCUUGUGGGUGGGGUGUUGGCCUACCAAGGCGACGACGGGUUGCCUGCCUGAGAGGGUGACCGGCCACACUGGGACUGAGAUACGGCCCAGACUCCUACGGGAGGCAGCAGUGGGGAAUAUUGCACAAUGGGCGCAAGCCUGAUGCAGCGACGCCGCGUGAGGGAUGACGGCCUUCGGGUUGCAAACCUCUUUCAGCACCGACGAAGCGCAAGUGACGGUAGGUGCAGAAGAAGGACCGGCCAACUACGUGCCAGCCGCCGCGGUAA